UACUCUUUGGUUUGGCAUCUUUGUAUGUGAGCUUUUUUUCCAUUUUUCUUGGGUAAAUCACUUUCUCUACUUCUUUUUCCUUUUGGACUUAGCAGAUAUUUUGACGGUGCGCGAUUCCGCCUUGAGUCUUUGGUAUUUUGUCUGGAGAAAGCAAAGCGUAUUGCUCCCUUUUCGAUUGGUGGUUUUGAUUUCUCCUUUGUGGGGGUCUUGAAAAUAGCCCUUGACGUCCAUUUUGGAGCAAUGCUGAUUCCAUAUCUGUGCUCGCGUAGCCAGUUCUUCGAAGGUUCUAGGCCUUGAUCCUUGAAGAAUAAACGCAAACCCCAGUGCAUGCCUUAAUGCACAUCUCGAUUGCAGAAGUCUCACCUACCCUAUCCUUACAAUUUCAGGCUCAAGUUUUCUCCUCGAUUGCUGUAAUCGACGAACGGUUUCCUCUUUCCAUUGUCGAGAACUAGGAAGCUCAAUCAUACUAACGUACGACGAUUCUAAGAAGCGUUCGAAACUCUUGUUCUAACUGCUCCCAACUUCAAUUAUGCGAGGCUCGAGAUCGCAAUACCAUCAAAAGCAGUGCCUUGAGUGUACGAACAAAUUGCUUGACUAGAAAAUCUCCAUCAGUUCCAGCAGUAUUGCACGUUUCCACAAAAUGAGCAUAGGUUUUUUGGAUUACCUUUGCCAUCGAAUUGUUGAAUUUUUGUGGUUGGAUCCCACAGGCAUCUUCAGUUGCGAUUCUUUGAUGUAGGGCUUAGCAUAAUGAGAGAAGAUUUUGGAAGUUCCCUUGUCUUUGAUGCACCCUAGAAUGAUCUCCUUCAGUUGGUCCGACCGGGAUUGAUCCAUCAGCCCAAGACUUGUAAGUUAAUUUGGAGUCUCUUGUUGUUUUGCAGAAGACUCAGUAACAUCUUGUAGUUAUUGGAGGGUUGGCAGCAGCUUGGUUUGAUCUCCUAAACUUUCAAACUUGUUCAUCAGGACGCCAUUAUUUGGACAUCACGUCUUCAUCUUUUGCAUAAACCUCGCAGUUUUUGUCAAGAUAGUCAAGUUAUUCUUCCAUGUCAAGAGCAUUUGUUGUCAGACAGCAUGGCAACAGAACUGAAUGAACUAUCUUGAUAUCUGGGUUGGUUUUUUGUUAGGUUGAGCUUUGUCGGAGAGUAUCAGAGGAAGAACUGGAGUCAGAGCUUGCUGAAUCUCAAUCUCUUGAUCAUCAUAUCUAGAUUUUGAAGCCUAAUAAAAUUUUGAGUUUACAGAGGCUUGAGAACGCCUCUUCUUAGCAUUGCACAUCGUCCUUUUCCCCCAAUGUAACAGUUUCUUCCUUACCUCCUGAAGUUUUUGGGAAAAUUGUUGACGUCUUUGGUAGUUUGAACCAAAAACAGGAGUUAAUUUUAGGAAGAAGCGAGUUUGAGCUAAGCUCAACAGUCAGUCCUUGCCCUUGCUUCAGUUAUUGGACCGAACUUGAGUGCCCGGCCAGUUGUUUGGGUAGUUGCCGAAAUUUAGAGCCGCAGCCUUCAUCUGAGUAGCCUAGAAUCGGCCUUCUUAUUAGCCUUGCGAGUUGUUGAAUUUACUUGUCGAAGAUGAGAGAUGAGAGGCAAGAAUGUCCACUGGCGUCCAAACUUUGUAACACACACAGUUCGUUCUACAAUAAUAGACAAAAAAAUCGUAGUAGCAAGUACAUUUUAUUAACUUUUGAAUAGCGGAUUACAAUCUCUGAAAUAAUUUCUAACACAGAAAUUAAUCCUUGAUUCUUCUCUUCUGAACGUUGACUUCGAGGGCUGAAGCUUAUCCCUAAUUACACGCCCGUGUUCUUCUUCACCUUGUGCGAAAACGAUGAUUGAAGGAGAAAGUUCUUCAGGGUUUUUGAUGCGUGAUCUUCAGAGCCUCGCUUCAUCUUGUCUUCUAGUCUUGUCCUUCGGUGUCUCUUUUCUUUUGAGGGUCACCCCUAUUUAUAGUUGAGGGCGGUGAAUCGGUAAGCUUGGACUUCGGAUGAUAAUUAUCUCUUAUUUGAUUUUAAAAGAUAUUAUUAAGAGAUAAUAUUAAUGAUAAGUAUCUCCUUUUUUUAAUUUGAAGGAUAAUAAUCAAUAUGAUUAUCUCUUUAAUUUGACAAGUGCACAUUUUGAUUGGCUUAAAACUUGUCAUUUGAAGACUGCAUCAUCUGACAUGUGGCGGUAUUUAUCGCUUUGUCUUGCGACUUUGACACUGACAAUCUUUUGAUUAGUCAGAAUUUGUGACUUUGUAAGACACUGGCAAUUUUUGAUUGGCCAAAUUUUUACCUGUCUACAGGGAUUCCUAAGUAUUUUUGGCACAUGGUUGUUUCUCACUCUACCAAUCCUUAUCAAUCAGACUCCCAUCGGUACACAAGGCAAGGUCCUCUCCUUAUCCUCAGCCUGCUAGUACCCUAUUUUCCUAUUAUUCCUCGCGUCUUUGGGUACACUUGUUUGUUUCAAAAUCGAAGCUCCACCCAUACCAAACUUGAUGAUACAGUCGUACGUUUGUAUAUUUUCUCGGUAUGCCUCAA
rnacentral:lncRNA from 1 species